rnacentral:tRNA from 2 species
AAAAUCCGUCGACUUUAUAAGUCGUGAGGGUUC